rnacentral:tRNA from 1 species
GCCAGCAUGGCAUAGUGGUUUGAGUGUUGGAUUACAACUCUGGAGACCAAGGUUCAAUUCCCAGCUCGGUCU